rnacentral:rRNA from 1 species
GGACCGCACAAGCGGUGAGCAUGUGGUUUAAUUCGAAGCAACGCGAAGACCCUUACCAGGUCUUGACAUGCCGAUGACCGGUCCGUAAUGGGCCUUCCCUUCGGGGCAUCGGACACAGGUGGUGCAUGGUUGUCGUCAGCUCGUGUCGUGAGAUGUUGGGUUAAGUCCCGCAACGAGCGCAACCCUUGUCAUUAGUAACCAGCAGUAAGAUGGGGACUCUAAUGAGACUGCCCGGGACAACCGGGAGGAAGGCGGGGAUGACGUCAAAUCAUCAUGCCCCUUAUGACCUGGGCUACACACGUGCUACAAUGGCGUAAACAGAGGGAAGCAAUACUGCAAAGUGGAGCAAAACCGAUAAAAUACGUCUCAGUUCGGACUGUGGCCUGCAACCCGGCCACACGAAGCCGGAAUCGCUAGUAAUCGCAGAUCAGCAUGCUGCGGUGAAUACGUUCCCGGGUCUUGUACACACCGCCCGUCACACCAUGGGAGCCGGUAACGCCCGAAGCCUGUGACCCAACAAUCGAGGGAGCAGUCCACGGCGGGAUCGGUAACUGGGGUG